CAGCAGCCGCGGGAAAACGGAGGGUGCAAGCGUUAAUCGGAAUUACUGGGCGUAAAGCGCACGCAGGCGGUUUGUUAAGUCAGAUGUGAAAUCCCCGAGCUUAACUUGGGAACUGCAUUUGAAACUGGCAAGCUAGAGUCUUGUAGAGGGGGGUAGAAUUCCAGGUGUAGCGGUGAAAUGCGUAGAGAUCUGGAGGAAUACCGGUGGCGAAGGCGGCCCCCUGGACAAAGACUGACGCUCAUGCACGAAAGCGUGGGGAGCAAACAGGAUUAGAUACCCCUGUAGUCCCUGUCUCUUAUAC
rnacentral:rRNA from 1 species